UUCCUGAUAGCUCAGCUGGUUAGAGUGUGGUGCUCAAAACACCAAGGUUGCAGGUUUGAUCCCCAUUCCCCCAUAUGGAA